rnacentral:rRNA from 1 species
CUUUCUUACACCGAAUGCUUGCAUUCACCGUAAGAAGUUGAGUGGCGGACGGGUGAGUAACACGUGGGUAACCUGCCUAAAAGAAGGGGAUAACACUUGGAAACAGGUGCUAAUACCGUAUAUCUCUAAGGAUCGCAUGAUUCUUAGAUGAAAGAUGGUUCUGCUAUCGCUUUUAGAUGGACCCGCGGCGUAUUAACUAGUUGGUGGGGUAACGGCCUACCAAGGUGAUGAUACGUAGCCGAACUGAGAGGUUGAUCGGCCACAUUGGGACUGAGACACGGCCCAAACUCCUACGGGAGGCAGCAGUAGGGAAUCUUCCACAAUGGACGCAAGUCUGAUGGAGCAACGCCGCGUGAGUGAAGAAGGUCUUCGGAUCGUAAAACUCUGUUGUUAGAGAAGAACACGAGUGAGAGUAACUGUUCAUUCGAUGACGGUAUCUAACCAGCAAGUCACGGCUAACUACGUGCCAGCAGCCGCGGUAAUACGUAGGUGGCAAGCGUUGUCCGGAUUUAUUGGGCGUAAAGGGAACGCAGGCGGUCUUUUAAGUCUGAUGUGAAAGCCUUCGGCUUAACCGGAGUAGUGCAUUGGAAACUGGAAGACUUGAGUGCAGAAGAGGAGAGUGGAACUCCAUGUGUAGCGGUGAAAUGCGUAGAUAUAUGGAAGAACGCCAGUGGCGAAAGCGGCUCUC